UACAGAGGGGGCAAGCGUUAUUCGGAAUUAUUGGGCGUAAAGGGCGCGUAGGCGGCCUUGCAAGUGGCGGGUGAAAUCCCUCGGCUUAACCGAGGAACUGCCUGCCAGACUGCAAGGCUCGAGACCGGGAGAGGUGAGUGGAAUUCCCAGUGUAGCGGUGAAAUGCGUAGAUAUUGGGAGGAACACCAGUGGCGAAGGCGGCUCACUGGACCGGAACUGACGCUGAGGAGCGAAAGCCAGGGGAGCAAACGGG
rnacentral:rRNA from 1 species